AAGUCGUAACAAGGUUUCCGUAGGUGAACCUGCGGAAGGAUCAUUACUGAGAUAGGGCACUCUUUUUUUAAGGCCCGAACCUCCAACCCUUUGUCUACCUUACCACUGUUGCCUCGGCGGGUCGUCGACCUCUUCAUAGAGGCCGCCGUCGGCGUUCUGUGCUCUCGCGUACCCGUCGCUGGGCCCUAACUUAAACACUUUGUAAACCUAGUCUUCUGAGAAAAGAUAAAUAUUUUAAAA
rnacentral:misc_RNA from 1 species